GACGAACGCUGGCGGCGUGCCUAAUACAUGCAAGUUGAGCGCUGAAGGUUGGUACUUGUACCAACUGGAUGAGCAGCGAACGGGUGAGUAACGCGUGGGGAAUCUGCCUUUGAGCGGGGGACAACAUUUGGAAACGAAUGCUAAUACCGCAUAAAAACUUUAAACACAAGUUUUAAGUUUGAAAGAUGCAAUUGCAUCACUCAAAGAUGAUCCCGCGUUGUAUUAGCUAGUUGGUGAGGUAAAGGCUCACCAAGGCGAUGAUACAUAGCCGACCUGAGAGGGGGGACGGCCCAUUGGGGGCUGAGCCGCGCCCCAAACCCUUAGGGGAGGCAGCGAGGGGGACUUUUGGGAAAAGGGCGAAAGUUUGCCCGAGCAACGCCGGGUGGGUGAAGAAGGUUUGCGGGUCGUAAAACGGUGUUGGGGGAGAAGAACGUUUGGGAGAGUGAAAAGCCGAUAAAGAGGCGGAUACGUCCAGAAAAGGCGGGUAACUCUGCG
rnacentral:rRNA from 1 species